CCUACGGGUGGCAGCAGUGGGGAAUAUUGGACAAUGGGCGAAAGCCUGAUCCAGCCAUGCCGCGUGUGUGAAGAAGGCCUUCGGGUUGUAAAGCACUUUCAGUGGGGAAGAAAGCCUUGGGGCUAAUACCCUCGAGGAAGGACAUCACCCACAGAAGAAGCACCGGCUAACUCCGUGCCAGCAGCCGCGGUAAUACGGAGGGUGCGAGCGUUAAUCGGAAUUACUGGGCGUAAAGCGCGCGUAGGCGGUCUGAUAAGCCGGUUGUGAAAGCCCCGGGCUCAACCUGGGAACGGCAUCCGGAACUGUCAGGCUAGAGUGCAGGAGAGGAAGGUAGAAUUCCCGGUGUAGCGGUGAAAUGCGUAGAGAUCGGGAGGAAUACCAGUGGCGAAGGCGGCCUUCUGGACUGACACUGACGCUGAGGUGCGAAAGCGUGGGUAGCAAACAGGAUUAGAUACCCGGGUAGUC
rnacentral:rRNA from 1 species